GAUGAACGCUGGCGGCGUGCUUAACACAUGCAAGUCGAACGGAAAGGCCAGUGCUUGCACUGGUACUCGAGUGGCGAACGGGUGAGUAACACGUGGGUGAUCUGCCCUGCACUUCGGGAUAAGCCUGGGAAACUGGGUCUAAUACCGGAUAGGACAAUGGUUUGGAUGCCGUUGUGGAAAGUUUUUGCGGUGUGGGAUGAGCUCGGGGCCUAUCAGCUUGUUGGUGGGGUAAUGGCCUACCAAGGCGUCGACGGGUAGCCGGCCUGAGAGGGUGUACAGCCGCAUUGGGACCGAAAGGCAGCCCAGACUCCUGCGGGAGGCAGCAGUGGCGAAUGUUGGACAAUGGGCGCAAGCGUGAGGCAGCAACGCCGUGUGGGGGUUGACGGCCUUCGGGUGGUAAGCUCCUAUCGCUAAGGACGAAGCGAAUUUGUGACGGUACCUGGAGAAGAAGCACCGGCUAACUACGUG
rnacentral:rRNA from 1 species